rnacentral:rRNA from 1 species
GACGAACGCUGGCGGCGUGCCUAAUACAUGCAAGUCGAACGCAGUGGGGACGGGUGAGUAACACGUGGGUAACCUCCCAUCAGAGGGGAUAACACUUGGAAACAGGUGCUAAACCGAUACUGAUGGAUGGACCCGCGGUGCAUUAGCUAGUUGGUGAGGUAACGGCUCACCAAGGCCACGAUGCAUAGGCGACCUGCGAGGGGCAUCGGCCGAACAGUGACUGAGACACGGCCCAGCCUCCGACGUGAGGCAGCAGUAGUGAAUCUUCGGCAAUGGACGAAAGUCUGACCGAGCAACGCCGCGUGAGUGAAGAAGGUUUGCGGAUCGGAAAUCUCUGUUGUUAGAGAAGCGGUAGCUAACCAGAAAGCCACGGCUAACUACGUGCCAGCAGCCGCGGUAAUUC